GGCUUCACUGAUGAUUCCAUUCUUCCAUUUUCUGUAUUUUUUGUCUCCUUCUAGUUAACCAACUUGAGAUCUACUUUUGUAGGUUACCUCCGAUGCCCACAGCUUCUAGUUUCAGAAUUAAUCUUCAGUGUGGAACCAUAGCAAAGGCUUUCUAAAAAGUCUAAAAAGAACAGCCUCUGGGGAGCUUCCUUCGACCAAAACAGAUGUGUUGACCGCUCAUGUUAAAAAUGCUUCAAAUGAUGGUGUCCAGGAACUCCUUGACUUCUACAAACUGGCCACUGAAGUAUAAAAAGAAAUCUUCACUUUUUAAUUUCAGUCUUUUGGAGCCUUUCAUGACAAGGAUCAACAGAACACUCAGCCCCUACAGUGACAUAUAGUCAGAAAUGACACAGCUGGUCCUGCCCUUUGGUCUUUUCUGCAUGACUAAUUCUUAGUUUACUGUCUCCAAGACAUUUUUUCUUGUUGGAUUUGCUGUACCUCAUUUGUUGGUCCACACAGGCUUUUCCACAGGUCCACUAUGCAUUCAUUACUUUUUAUGAAUUUGAAUUUUUUUCUUACUGGGUCAGAGAGAUAUAAUUUAUCCCAACAGCACUGAGUGUAUGGUAGGAACUAACUUGGGUCAGGUCAACAGUACAUUGCAGGACACACUCAACCACACAGUGACACCAGCAAGUUUCUGGCCAAUUUAGAGUUGCUGGUAAUACUAACUAUAACAACAGUGACAAUUAUAUUAUUACUGUUAUU